UGCAGAAGACGAGUUGCCGAAACAGGUACAGCAUCUCUCGCGAAUCGACCGAAUACGUUUCACCUUCAUCAAUCAUCAACAGAAAUACAGUUUUGAAACCCUAGCCAUUAGUCUCUCUCUCUAGAUAUCAUUUGAGCUUUAAUUUGAACCCUAGGGACGCUCCAGAAAUACACGUGAAAUGCACCCUCUCUGGAUCGAACGCAUCAACGCCGGCCAACACGGAGUUAAUUAUGGUAACUUCAUGCACGGGCUACAUACAACCUAAUAGGAAAGUUCUGUCAGAGCACUCAAUGCUGGAGCCAUAUAGCUUCAAGGCCCUGCUGGAUGUCUCUCACACUGCCUUCCCUGGAAAAAGGUGGUAGUUCCUCCCAAAUAGGAAGGCAUUUCAUAAUUGCCUUCUAGGAUGAAAUGGAGGACACAAGUUUUAGCAUAUAAUUCUUUCUUUCUUUUUUAUCGGUUUUAGAUACUUUUUUAUUUUUAUUUUUAAUUUUAACUAGUCUUAGAAAUGUUGAGUAUGUUGACAUAUGGGACAUGACUACACUUUACAAAUCUCAAACCCUAUUGCCACAUUGUGCACAAUAAUCCAAUUACAGUGCCUAUAAUAGAGUACGUACUUUGACA